rnacentral:rRNA from 1 species
AACGAACGCUGGCGGCAGGCCUAACACAUGCAAGUCGAACGCUGUAGCAAUACAGAGUGGCAGACGGGUGAGUAACGCGUGGGAACAUGCCCUUCGGUUCGGAAUAACUCAGGGAAACUUGAGCUAAUACCGGAUACGCCCUUAGGGGGGAAAGAUUUAUUGCCGAAGGAUUGGCCCGCGUCCGAUUAGCUAGUUGGUGAGGUAAUGGCUCACCAAGGCGACGAUCGGUAGCUGGUCUGAGAGGAUGAUCAGCCACACUGGGACUGAGACACGGCCCAGACUCCUACGGGAGGCAGCAGUGGGGAAUAUUGGACAAUGGGCGCAAGCCUGAUCCAGCCAUGCCGCGUGAGUGAUGGAGGCCCUAGGGUUGUAAAGCUCUUUCGCCAGGGACGAUAAUGACGGUACCUGGAUAAGAAGCCCCGGCUAACUUCGUGCCAGCCGCCGCGGUAACAC